UUUGCUGUUGGUGGGGGCAGGGAGCAUGGUACAGGGGUGACUGAGUUCCUGCUUUGUUAGUUCCCACUGAAACUGAUUGACAAAAAGGGCCUGGCACCUCUCUCUUCUCUCUCUUUCUCUCUCUCACCAUGUGAUCUAUGCAUGCCUGUUCCCGUCUGCUUGCACUAAGAAUGGAAACAGCCUAAGUUCCUCACCAGAAGCAGAGGCUGGCACCAUGUUUGUUAUGCAGCCUGCAGAACCAGAAAUCAUGGGAAAAACUGCCCAUUUCUGUUUUGUCCACUUUGCUUUGGGAAGUGAGAGCUAUAGUCAUUAUCACCACAUCCCCUGGCAUCCAAUUCCACAUUCUACCUCAGAAGUUAUUUGGAGGAAUCCAAGGACUUAGAUAUUUUACCAAUGUCUCUGGUGAUUUUUAUAUCGGUGGCCCAUGGGUGUUGACCUAUGAAACUGCUCUGCAGCAGAUAUUGAGAAAUAGGAGUUCAGGUAGUGAGACGAGCAUGAGUGGAGCAGGAGACGGCUGUCCCCCACCCACAAGGAAUAUCAGAUGAUGGUUCAGCGAUCAUCACAUUGCCUCUCUGAAAGUGAUAAAUUGGCAGCUGGCACCAGGGAGAGGCUAUUUCCUGAUGGCCCACACCUGUUGCACUAAGAUGUUAAUCGAAUGCAGAUUCCAGGGAGAAACAACUUCCUGGGCAUGUGCGUAAGAGACAAAAUGGCAGGUAUGACCUUCUGGGGACACUCCACCAGAAAAGGGAAGAAAACCUCAGAUGGGCAUGCAUAUAACUUCCUAAACACACUGCUCACACUCUCCUCCCAAGGGUAAGGAGGGCACUGCACAUGCAGGCAGCCCAUCCUAAGGGAAGCAUCCUGGGAAAGGGGUCAGUCUAUAUGGUUCUGGGAUCAAGAUUAAACACCACAUUAGACCUUCAAGUUGCCCACUUGGGUCUCUUCUAUGUGUAUUUUUCUUUCCUUUCUUUUCUGCUCUAAAGCUUUUUUAAAUAAACAUACACAUCCCUCCUCUGAAACUUGCCUUGGUCUCUUUUUCUGCCAUAUGCAACUCAGUCAAAUUAUUUCUUCUGAGGAGGAAAAAAUUGAGGUAGCUGCAUUCCCAUACAGAUUCACCAUCGGUAACUCAGAUACCUUCUACUGGCCAUAUGUUUGGUGUUCUAUUCAAGAAAUAAUUGCUAAAGCCAAUGUCUUAAAGUGUUUUUCUUAUGUUUUUCUUCUAAGAGUUUUACAGUUUCAGGUCUUACACUUAAGUAUUUAAUUAAUUUGAGUUGAUUUUAUGCAUGGUGUAGGAUGUGUGUAAUAUUCAGUUUUUCUAACACUAUUUGUUGAAGAGACUAUUCUUUUUCCACUGUGUAUCCUUAGAAGCAUUGCUGAAGUGUUGUUG
rnacentral:lncRNA from 10 species